rnacentral:rRNA from 1 species
CUGGCGGCGUGGCUAAAACAUGCAAGUCGAACGCGAACGAGACCUUCGGGUCUUUAUUAGAGUGGCGAAAGGGCGAGGAAUACUUGGGUAACGUACCCUGGGCACUGGGAUAGCUGCGGGAAACUGCAGGUAAUACCAGAUGACACCGAAGGAUCGCAGGGUCUUUCGGUCAAUGGGUGGGGAUCUCUUCGGAGACCUAUCGGCCUAGGAGCGGCCCAAGUCCUAUCAGCUUGUUGGUGAGGUAACGGCUCACCAAGGCUUCGACGGGUACCGGGACUGAGAGGUUGACCCGGCGCAUUGGGACUGAGACACUGCCCAGACUCCUACGGGAGGCUGCAGUAACGAAUAUUGGACAAUGGACGAAAGUCUGAUCCAGCGACGCCGCGUGUAGGAAGAAGUCUUUCGGGAUGUAAACUACUGUCAGGGACCACCAAGCAAUCGAGGUUAAUACCCUUGUGCGUUGAGGAAUCCCAGAGGAAGUCACGGCUAACUUCGUGCCAGCAGCCGCGGUAAUACGAAGGUGGCGAACGUUGUUCGGAAUCGGGGCUUAAAGAGCACGUAGGCGGACUGUCAAGCGUCAUGUGAAAGCCCUCGGCUUAACCGAGGAACGGCUUGGCGAACUGGCAGUCUUGAGGCAGGUAGGGGCAACUGGAACUCAUGGUGGAGAGGUGGAAUGCGUAGAUAUCAUGAGGAACGCCGGAGGCGAAGGCGAGUUGCUGGGCCUGUCCUGACGCUGAGGUGCGAAAGCUAGGGUAGCGAACGGGAUUAGAUACCCCGGUAGUCCUAGCCCUAAACGAUGUCCACUAGGUCGGAGGCACUCUGACGUGUUUCUGGCCGAAAUGAAAACGGUAAGUGGACCGCCUGGGGAGUACGGUCGCAAGGCUAAAACUCAAAGGAAUUGACGGGGGCUCACACAAGCGGUGGAGCAUGUUGCUUAAUUCGAUUCAACGCGAAGAACCUUAUCCUGGGUUUGACAUGCUUGGAUGCCCAUCUGGAAACAGAGUAGGCUGCCCUUCGGGGUGAAACUUGCACGGGUGCUGCAUGGCUGUCGUCAGCUCGUGUCGUGAGAUGUUGGGUUAAGUCCCGUAACGAGCGAAACCCUUGUCGUUAGUUGCCAGCGCGUUAUGGCGGGGACUCUAACGAGACUGCCGGUGUCAAACCGGAGGAAGGUGGGGAUGACGUCAAGUCCUCAUGGCCUUUAUGCCCAGGGCUGCAAACGUGCUACAAUGGCUGGUACAAACCGAAGCAAGACCGCGAGGUGGAGCAAAUCGGAAAAAGCCAGCCCCAGUUCGGAUAGGAGUCUGCAACUCGACUCCUUGAAGUUGGAAUCGCUAGUAAUCGCGUAUCAGCGUGACGCGGUGAAUGUGUUCCUGAGCCUUGUACACACCGCCUGUCAAGUCAUGGAAGCCGGGAGCACCCGAAGUCGCCCCAAUUCAGGGGUGCCGAAGGUGAGUUCGGUAACUAGGACUAAGUCAGAACAAGGUA